rnacentral:lncRNA from 1 species
GUCACUUAAGACCAGGAGUUUGAAAACAGCCUGGGCAACAAAAUUAGACCCUAUCUCUACAAAAACAAAAAAUUAGCCAGGCACAGUGGUGUGCACCUGUGAUUCCAGCUCUAUGGAGGCUGAGGCAGGAGGAUUGACCUUGGGAGUUCGAGGCUGCAGUGAGCUGUGAUCACACCACUGCACUCCAGCCUGGGUGAUGGAGUAAGACCCUGUUUCAAAAAAAAAAAAGAAAAAAGGCCAUGAUGUUGGGCGUGUCCUCUGCAGGGAGGUUACUGCCCAGUGUGUUCUCGGUUUGAUUUCUAGUUUCAUUGCAUUGUGAUCAGAAAUCAUACUCUUUAUUAUCUUAAUCAUUUUAAAUUUAUUGAAUUUUAAAUUUAAAUUUAAAUCCUUUAAAAAAUUUUUAAUCAAUAAAUUUAGAAUUACUGAAUACACUAUGGCCUAACAUUUAGACAGAGGCCUUUUACAUCUCUUAUCACCCAAAGUACGUGGCUCAGCACCAUGCUUAUAGGACACUCUCAAUACAUUUUUUGACAGUGAUGGCAAAAGAUUGGAUUUCCACACCCAGGUCUUUCCCUGGUUUGUUCAGAGCCUGGAGUCUUUAUUUACCCGAUUAUGCUUCCUGGGCUCCUCACUCCCAGGAGAAAGAAGGAGGGCCAGGAUAGACAUGCCCAGCGUUCCUCCCAGAUGCACCAGGUCAGGCCCCCACCUCCCUGGGGUAGAGGGAGGCCUGAGUUACAGUGGGAGCCUCCUUCAGGGGAGGGCCAUCCCCUCAGGAAAGAGAAACCUAAGAUGUGGUUAGUGGUGAAUUAGGAGGUGGGUGGAGGACGUGUGUCCAAAAGCCCUCAGGCCAGAUAGCAAGUCCCGUGCUGGAGAGAGUGAGAGGGGUCCCCACGGUUGGGCCCAGAAAACGGGGUACAGUACAAGAGGGAACACAACAGCCAGGGGAGGGCCAUGCAGGGGACUCUGCUCUGAUUUGGCCUCUGGGCGUGUUUCACAAGGAAACUCAUCACGUUUUUAAACAACUUCUGUGGAAGACGUGGAGGAGGGCUGUGGGUAGGCCAUCUCCAUAGACAGAUUGGGGAAUUUUGUAAGGGUCAGCGAGACAGGAUGGCACCCUCGCUGCUCCAGGAUCUAGUGGCGGCUUGAGAAGGAGGUCGAGGGGACGGACAGCUAGGUGCUGAGCCACAGAGAAGGGGAGUGACUCAGGGAGGAGCAGGGACAGACCUCAGGCAGCAGGAAGCUCUGGAGUGAUUUGGGACGGCAGCUCUGAGAUGCCUGGGAGCUCCAGCAGGAACCCAGUGGGGACAUCCAUGCUUUGAGACAGCAACUCUGUGCUUCCUUCAGCUGCACCAGAAACUGAUUCUAAAAUGUUGAGAUUUUCCCUUCUGAAGCCCAAUUUUUAUUAUUCUUAUUUUAUUUUUAUUUUUUUGAGACAGUCUCGCUCUGUCACCCAGGCUGGAGUGCAAUGGUGCUAUCUCAGCUCACUGCAACCUGCGCCUCCCAGUUCAAGUGAUUCUUUGAUUCUUCUGCCUCAGCCUCCUAAGUAGCUGGGAAUUACAGGCAUGUACCACCACACCUGGCUAAUUUUUGUAUUUUUAAUAGAGAUGGGGUUUCACCAUGUUGGCCAUGCUGGUCUCGAACUCCUGACCCCAGGUGAUCUGCCCGCCUCAUCCUCCCAAAAGUGCUAGGAUUACAGGCAUAAGCCACCCCACCUGGCCAAAAGCAACCCUGAAGCCCAAUUUUUAAAUGACAUUAAAAGUGUAUCACAAAAGUCAA